GGAGAGAUGCCGGAGCGGCUAAACGGCCCUGACUCGAAAUCAGUGGGGGACGCAAGUCCCACUAGGGUUCGAAUCCCUAUCUCUCCG
rnacentral:tRNA from 2 species